GACCCAGUGGCGAAGUGGUUUCGCAUCCGCUCAACUUAAGCAACCGUGAAUGUUCCUUCCGUGGAAGACACCCGUUCGAUUCGGGUCUGGGUCA